AUUGGCUGUAAAUUGCUUGUUUCUGUCCUAAGUGUAAACCAGUUACAGGUUUGUUUGUUUUUUGUUUGUUUGUUUGUUUUUUUUGCCAACUUUUGGCUGAUACUAGGGUGCCUGUGAGAGGUUGCAGUGCAAUACUUUUAAGUGAUAUGCUUCCCAGUUGUACUAAUUCUAUUCUUAAAGGGGGAAGAGGGAUUUUGUGUGUACAAAAUGCAAGUUCCUUACCAAUAAUUUACACUUGUGUUCCUUAUUAAGGGUAUGGACAGUCCUUAAGAAUAGCAUUUCUCUCUUUAGGUUAUCAGCACAAAUGUGGUUAUGAAUAUCUCUAGAGUACAUUUAUUGGAAAAAAAUUAAAAAUAAUUGACAUCCCUGCUGGUCAUCAACAAAGUUCUGCACCAGUAGAGUGGAAAGAAAAGGGGACUGCAACAUGAAGUUCUAACCAUUUGGAGAGAGGCUGAUGUUGAUCCGGUAGUUAUAGAUUACAUCCUGCCACCAAUUGUUAUUGUUAGAGAUAUUUAUGACAUUGAUCUCCUGUAUAUAGUCACAGAGGGGAGUAUUAUUUGUCAGCUACUACAAGAAGGAAGUAUUGAUGCUGUCAUUAGGUUUCUUGGCUCAUUUUAUACUUUUAGUGUCUCCCACAAUCAGUCAAAGGCAAUUUUUACUUUUUUUAGAGCAAGCAUUACUUGAAAUUGGGUGCGGGCAGACUCUUGUUACUGUUUCCUCCUUUUUCAAUGACUUGGCAAAUGCCUGAGGUAG